rnacentral:snRNA from 1 species
AUACUCUGGUUUCUCUUCAAAACAAAUCUUUCUCCUUUUAUUAAAGAUUUCCAUGGAGAGGAACAGUUAUGAGUUGGUAACCAAAUUUUUUGAGGUAUUGCUCAGGCAAGGCU